CCGUUGGGACACUGAUUAGAUACCCUGGUAGUCCACGCCGUAAACGAUGAGUACUAAGUGUCGGGUUAAACCGGUACUGAAGUUAACACAUUAAGUACUCCGCCUGAGUAGUACGUACGCAAGUAUGAAACUUAAAGGAAUUGACGGGACUCCGCACAAGCGGUGGAUCAUGUUGUUUAAUUCGAAGAUACCCGAAAAACCUUACCAGGUCUUGACAUGUUUUUGCAAAAUGAUAGUAAUAUCGUGGAGGUUACCAGAAACACAGGUGGUGCAUGGUUGUCGUCAGCUCGUGUCGUGAGAUGUUAGGUUAAGUCCUAAAACGAGCGAAACCCUUAUCGUUAGUUGCCAGCACGUUAUGGUGGGGACUUUAACGAGACUGCCAAUGAUAAAUUGGAGGAAGGUGAGGAUCACGUCAAAUCAGCAUGCCCCUUAUGACCUGGGCUACAAACGUGAUACAAUGGCUGUUACAAAGUAAAACCUGGAAAGAA
rnacentral:rRNA from 2 species